rnacentral:rRNA from 1 species
GACGGAGGAUGCAAGUGUUAUCCGGAAUCACUGGGCGUAAAGCGUCUGUAGGUGGUCCAAUAAGUCAACUGUUAAAUCUUGAGGCUUCACUUCAAAAUCGCAGUCGAAACUAUUAGACUUGAGUAUAGUAGGGGUAAAGGGAAUUUCCAGUGGAGCGGUGAAAUGCGUAGAGAUUGGAAGGAACACCGAUGGCGAAGGCACUUUACUGGGCUAUUACUGACACUGAGAGACGAAAGCUAGGGUAGCAAAUGGG